GGUGGCUCAGUGGUAGAGCGCUUGCCUUGCAUGUAUAAGGUCCUGGGUUCGAUUCCACAGCACCA
rnacentral:tRNA from 1 species